GACGAACGCUGGCGGCGUGCUUAACACAUGCAAGUCGAACGGAAAGGCCCUGCUUUUGUGGGGUGCUCGAGUGGCGAACGGGUGAGAAACACGUGAGUAACCUGCCCUUGACUUUGGGAUAACUUCAGGAAACUGGGGCUAAUACCGGAUAGGAGCUCCUGCUGCAUGGUGGGGGUUGGAAAGUUUCGGCGGUUGGGGAUGGACUCGCGGCUUAUCAGCUUGUUGGUGGGGUAGUGGCUUACCAAGGCUUUGACGGGUAGCCGGCCGGAGAGGGUGACCGGCCACAUUGGGACUGAGGUACGGCCCAGACUCCUACGGGAGGCAGCAGUGGGGAAUAUUGCACAAUGGGCGGAAGCCUGAUGCAGAAACGCCGCGUGCGGGAUGACGGCCUUCGGGUUGUAAACCGCUUUCGCCUGUGACGAAGCGUGAGUGACGGUAAUGGGUAAAGAAGCACCGGCUAACUACGUG
rnacentral:rRNA from 1 species